GCUAAACGCGAAGAACCUUACCAAGGCUUGACAUGGAUUUCUAAGCACGUGAAAGCGUGUGACCCUUCGGGGGACUUCCACAGGUGUUGCAUGGCCGUCGUCAGCUCGUGUCGUGAGAUGUUGGGUUAAGUCCCGCAACGAGCGCAACCCUUGUCCUUAGUUGCCAUCAUUAAGUUGGGAACUCUAAGGAGACCGCCGGUGACAAACCGGAGGAAGGUGGGGAUGACGUCAAGUCAUCAUGGCCUUUAUGGCCAGGGCUACACACGUGCUACAAUGGCAGGUACAGAGGGCUGCAAUACCGUGAGGUGGAGCGAAUCCCAAAAAGCCGGUCCCAGUUCGGAUUGAGGUCUGCAACUCGACCUCAUGAAGUCGGAGUCGCUAGUAAUCGCAGAUCAGCAACGCUGCGGUGAAUACGUUCCCGGGUCUUGUACACACCG
rnacentral:rRNA from 1 species